rnacentral:rRNA from 1 species
CCUACGGGGGGCAGCAGUGAGGAAUAUUGGUCAAUGGACGAGAGUCUGAACCAGCCAAGUAGCGUGAAGGAUGACUGCACUAUGGGUUGUAAACCUCUUUUAUAAAGGAAUAAAACGAGGCACGUGUGCCUGUUUGCAUGUACUUUAUGAAUAAGGAUCGGCUAACUCCGUGCCAGCAGCCGCGGUAAUACGGAGGAUUCGAGCGUUAUCCGGAUUUAUUGGGUUUAAAGGGAGCGUAGAUGGGUUGUUAAGUCAGGUGUGAAAGUGUGCGGCUCAACCGUAAAAUUGCAAUUGAUACUGGCAGUCUUGAGUACAGUUGAGGUAGGCGGAAUUCGUGGUGUAGCGGUGAAAUGCAUAGAUAUCGCGAAGAACCCCGAUUGCGAAGGCAGCUUACUAAACUGUGACUGACAUUGAGGCUCGAAAGUGUGGGUAUCGAACAGGAUUAGAUACCCUUGUAGUC